rnacentral:rRNA from 1 species
UGAUUCAACGGGGUACCCGUAAAGGUUUGCUUGCUGGGUGGAUUAUUUGGCGAACGGGUGAGUAACACGUGAGUAACCUGCCCCUGACUCUGGGAUAAGCCCGGGAAACUGGGUCUAAUACCGGAUAUGACUUUUGACCGCAUGGUUGAGGGUGGAAAGAUUUAUCGGUUGGGGAUGGACUCGCGGCCUAUCAGCUUGUUGGUGAGGUAAUGGCUCACCAAGGCGACGACGGGUAGCCGGCCUGAGAGGGUGACCGGCCACACUGGGACUGAGACACGGCCCAGACUCCUACGGGAGGCAGCAGUGGGGAAUAUUGCACAAUGGGCGCAAGCCUGAUGCAGCGACGCCGCGUGAGGGAUGACGGCCUUCGGGUUGUAAACCUCUUUCAGUAGGGAAGAAGCGAAAGUGACGGUACCUGCAGAAGAAGCGCCGGCUAACUACGUGCCAGCAGCCGCGGUAAUACGUAGGGCGCAAGCGUUAUCCGGAUUUAUUGGGCGUAAAGAGCUCGUAGGCGGUUUGUCGCGUCUAUCGUGAAAGUCCGAGGCUCAACCUCGGAUCUGCGGUGGGUACGGGCAGACUAAUGAUGUAGGGAGACUGGAAUUCCUGGUGUGCGGUGAAAUGCCCAAUAUCAGAGGAACCCAUGGCAAAGCAGUCUCUGG